UUCCUUUGCAAGUAUCAGGACCCCAGGAAAAAAACGCGCUCUGAGGAUGUGAGCGGUUCUCAGGUUAGAACUGCAGGGAGAGCUGAGCAGAUCUCCAGGAAGCCUUCUCCCAGGGUUCUCUCUUCUUUUCUAAACUGGUCUUCCAAGACCUCAGAAACAGGACAAAGGGCAGCCAUGACUCCUAACCGCAGGGCUCUGAUUUGCUGUUGAAGAGGGCUGUGAGGUGCUGCCAGAAUUCCCCCGUUUACCCCAGCCACUCUGGAGGGCCGCUCACUGGCUUACGUUGAGUCAAAUGGCCAUCUUAUAACCAAUCAUCUGGCUUCCUGCCAGUUAGGGGUACACUCCUAACGCCAGAAUACCAAUCCUCUGCCCUGUUCAAAUCCAGAUCUGACAGGCCUGGUGUACACCCACAGCCCCAGUGCUCAGGAGGCUGAGGCAAGAACACGAUGAGAGCUCCCUGUGCUACACAGUGAGACCUUUAAAAAUCCCCUCAGUGAGCACAGUGAGUGGCGAUCAGAGUCACUGGGAAACACCUUCUAACGGUUCCUUUCCCCGUAUUGAAACCACAGGAGAAAAGAAUGCUCGCUUGUCCUUUCAGAGAAAACAGAUGCUGGAUCUGGGCUGGAGACACCAUUUCUCAAUAGGAAACACACAAUGAAUUUUACCGUUCAGCGCCGCAGACUUCCAUGGGCACAGACGGCACAGGGAGGCCCACCGCCCAUUGAAGGCAGCAGAGAAGCAAUGUGUAAAAGAAACUGCCAGCCUAACUUACCUGCUCAGACCUCCCGAACUAUGUGGCUUUCGCUGGAUCUCCAAGAAGCAUCUGAAAGAGAAGAGGGGAGCUUUGGCUGCCGUCCCUGUGAUGACAGAGGCAGGAGAGAGAAGCGGGGCACUAAGAGGCCACAGGAGCGGAUGGAGUCUCUUCCCUUGGCUGCGGGGCAGAAACUCGGCUAAUAAAUCAAAACUCCUCUAGAGCUGCUGUUUGCCUCCUAAAGACACUUCAAACGAGGGCCAGAGUGCUCGUGGCUCAAGUUGUCAUCUAGAUCUAAACAACACACCUCUAAGACUACCUACAAGUUCAUUCAGAGAGUCUUUAAGAUAAAGAAAAUGAGACUUCAUCUCAAGGCGUAGCCAGAGAUCCCACUUUUCCUGAGCAGAAGUCCCCAUGUUUCCCUAGCACAUCACCACCACAAGCCAUUGCUCCUGGAGGGCCCAGGAGAUGUGACAGAGCACACACAGGUUGUCUGCUUUGAGGCCUCAUCCGGAGAAGGCCAAGUGAGAGCUAAAGACUGGUCAGGGGCUGGCAGGAAGGCAGGAUGGUCUCUCAGUGCCCAAGAGCCGAGAGCAGGUCAGUGACGCUGAGUCCUGAAGAGAUGGGAGGACACAGACCACCCAUAGCUACCGAAAUAAACAGCAAUGUCAACCAACCCUCAGGGGUGGGUCUGCUGCCCCUUGGCGUUCUGCUUUCCAACUAUCUACCAAAGCAGCGCCUCUGGGUACCUGGGCAGGGGGCAGGGACAUGAGGAGAUUCUGGUGCUCUUAGCUCUUCAUGCUACCCCAAAAGAAAGGAGGAGCCACCUUGAAGCCAGCUGGAACGAGGGAGAGCACCAAGAGAAUUUUAACCUACAGAGAGCAGAGGGACUGUUUAAAUGAUUGCAUCAAACAGCACUUACCGUCCACCCCCUUCAUACUGGAAGUAAAACCUCCAGGGAGAUACAAUUCGUUACAGAGAAAUGAGGAAGUUGAAACAAGGCCUAUUCUGAGGACACAGCCACAUCUGGACAGGCCUGGAACUCUGGCGGGGGAAGCUGGCUGGAAAUCUGUUUGAGAGAUGAAAAGGGCCCCUUUGGGAGGUUAUUCUCACACUUAAGAAAGGAACAAAACAAGUUGGGCCCAGAUACAGAGCCUCGGCUGAGAGAGGAGUGAAUGGUCUGAGGCCGGCAGAGCUGGGCUUCGUGGACUCUCCUGCCGGGUGACCCAGGAGGGACGGGAGGAAGGUGGACUGUGCAGCGGCCACAGUGACUCCCUCCAGCAGGCAUUCUCCGUGCUCUGGGGCUGGCUGCAGCUCUUCCAGGGGAUGCUUUCACAUGGACUCGGGCCUUUCAUAGGUGAGAAGUUUCCAUCAGGCCUAAAAUAUUUAUACGGCUCAGUAUCUGGAAUCAUCCCUGAAGAUGGAAGAGCAGAGUAGCUCGGAACUCCUGCACAGCCCCACCAGGUAGCCCUAUCCUGCCAAACGUUUCCUCUUCAUGUGAAACACAAAUGGAUCAGAUAGGAAGCAAAAAAAAAAAAAAAAAAAAAAAAAAAGAA